GAUGAACGCUGGCGGCGUGCCUAAUACAUGCAAGUCGAGCGGAAACAGGGAGAGCUUGCUCUCCGCUGUCGAGCGGCGGACGGCUGAGUAACACGUAGGAACAUACCCCAAAGUGAGGGAUAACUGCUCGAAAGAGUAGCUAAUACCGCAUGUGGUCUAAGGAUUAAAGCUUCGGCGCUUUGGGAAUGACCUGCGUUCGAUUAGCUAGAUGGUGAGGUAAAGGCUUACCAUGGCGACGAUCGAUAGCUGGUCUGAGAGGAUGAUCAGCCAGACUGGGACUGAGACACGGCCCAGACUCCUACGGGAGGCAGCAGUAGGGAAUUUUCCACAAUGGGCGAAAGCCUGAUGGAGCAACGCCGCGUGCAGGAUGAAUGCCUUAGGGUUGUAAACUGCUUUUAUAUGUGACGAUUAUGUCGGUAGCAUAUGAAUAAGGAUCGGCUAACUCCGUGCCAGCCGCCGCCGUAA
rnacentral:rRNA from 1 species